rnacentral:rRNA from 1 species
UUAACAAAAACAUGGCCUAUUGUUAUUUAUUUUAGGUCGGUCCUGCUCAAUGAUUAAUUAUAUUAAUUAAAUAGCCGCAGUAUAUUGACUGUGCGAAGGUAGCAUAAUAAUUUGUCUUUUAAUUGUAGGCUUGUAUGAAUGGAUUGAUGAAGUAUAUACUUUCUUUAUAUCUAAAUUAUUGAAUUUAAUUUUUGAGUUAAAAAGCUUAAAUGUUGUUAUAGGACGAGAAGACCCUAUAGAAUUUUAUUUAUGGAGUUAUGUUUAUUUUUAGGUAAUUAAGUGUUUAGAAUAUAAUUUUAUAAAUUUUGUUGGGGCGAUGGGGAAA